GCUAUUUAUGAAAAAAAUAAAAUCAGUAUAUUCUUUUAUUGAGUUCAUGAAAUCCACUUUGCCGGAUAUCUUCAUUGCAGUGGUUUGUAACAAAAGUGCAAGACAGUAUGUUCUAUGCACCAUGAGGCGACUAGUGGUAAAAAGUGCAAACAAAUCAAGACACUCAUUGGAGUACUUGGAUAAAGAUGAGACAGUAGUGGCUCAUGCGGUUGGAGGAGUUGAUGCAUUCACCAAGGUCCCUCAAGGUCCCACAAGGUUGGCCAUUGUUAAGUUACUCCAUUGAAACUGAUAUACCUCAAGAGCUCUGAUCAACAUUCAAAGGGAAUUUCUAUUUCUUUUAGUUUUCUGUGCAAGGUUCAGGUCAGUGUUACACCUCCUCAUCUCUUACUAGUUUCCUUACUUCAGGGUGGAUAUUUGAGAAAUUUCAUCAAAUUGGGCAGUUGCAAGCAUGCCUGAGCUUAAAAUGUGGAUAUUUUGGUUUCUUUUGAAUCAGUUUGAGCUUAUAGAAAAAUAUACAAAAAUGUGAAUUGUUCAUACAAAAAAAGCUAUUAGAUUUCACACAAGUUUAUUAUAUUUCCAAUUAGAUGAAAGAAAGGUUAAGUGUUGAUGCAAACUCAGAUCUUCUAAGCAUGUAAUUGUUCUUGCAGACAUUCAUGUAUUGAACACCUGGA